CACGUAGGGCGCAAGCGUUGUCCGGAAUUAUUGGGCGUAAAGAGCUCGUAGGCGGUCUGUUGCGUCCGCUGUGAAAACUCGGGGCUUAACCCCGAGCCUGCAGUGGAUACGGGCAGACUAGAGGUAGGUAGGGGAGAAUGGAAUUCCAGGUGUAGCGGUGAAAUGCGUAGAUAUCUGGAGGAACACCCGUGGUGCAGACGGCUUGCUGGACCGUGACUGACGCUGAGGCACGAAAGCGUGGGUAGCAAACAGG
rnacentral:rRNA from 1 species